rnacentral:misc_RNA from 1 species
AAUUCCAAUGAAAAAGGCAAGAUAUGGCAUUGACACUGCCCACCUUGGACAAAACAUUAGUGUAUCCAGUGAAUGCACUAUAGAAUCACGUGGGAUCAGCGUUUCAACGUCGGCCACUAAAUAUACCAAUGAAUCCAACCAAGGCGUGUUUGAAGUUGUUUGCUGCAGCCACUGCAACACGUUUGAAAAGCAGUCACAGGAUAUUGGCAAAAAAUUAGACGACCUGCAAUUGAUAGUCGAAGCACAGAAUACUGCUAUAAUGGAUGCAAUAGCGGUCCAAAAGGUGGCGACUGAGCAAUUGAUUCGCCAAGAAUCAAAAAAUGCACCCAUCACAAAAUAUUUCCCAAUAAGUGACGUCCCAGAAAUGCAUCAGUUGGAGGAAAAAAUUACUCUACUAACAGAGAUGUAUAUGUAAGUUAAUUUGAUAUAUAGAUUUAUAUCAUAGCUCAGUUUACAAAUAUUAUUUAAACAUAUUUUAUAGGAAUCUGCGAUGUCUGCUAUUUUAUGCAACAAUCUCAGAAAUAUAAGGCUGCUGUUAAAUAAGGACGUCAUAGCGUCAAUAAACAUGGAUGGUUCACAUGGAAAGAUAAGCUUAAAAUAUUUCCCAAAUUUUUAUGCUUCAUUGACUGGAGCCAUUGCCAAAUUACCAUUUAAGGGAUUGUCGCCGGAGGACGCGCUGCGCAAAGCCAUUGCUUUCGAAAAAGCUAAAUGCUUUAAGAAAGCUUAUCGACAAAAAAAGAAGAAUUCUGCAUCUUAAACUACUACCCCUCCAAUUGUUUUUUUUUUUUUUUUAAUAUAAAACUGCAAUAGUACAAAGUUGUAAUAUUUCAGACUUUAAAUUCUGACUUCUUAUUUCUGGACUGAAUUUUUCUUUUUUAAUUUUUAUUAUAAAAUUAUUUAAAAAAUGUGAUUUAUAAAACUCGUAAAGAAACCAGAACGAAUAUUUAUUUUAAAAUUUUCGCAGCUAAAAACUCACAAGAAAUAUUCUCCUAAAAGUUUGUAGCCCAUUUUAUAUCGUUUUUUUUUCUUAAAGAAUAAAUUUUGUUCACGCGUUAUAUGAAAGCAAGAAAUCAACGCGAACUAUUUGAGUGGAGUACAAAACUGCGUAAACGAUUUUUUUUAAGAUACAUUUUUUUAAAUUUUGAUGAUAAUUUCUUUCAUGAGUUUUGCAAAAAUUUUGAUUUGUCAGAUUUAUGUUAGAGAAGCUGUAUUUAAAGUGUUUAAAGUCAAUUAAAUAAAAAUACAUAUUUUAAAACGAAGGCUUCGGAUAAAA